CAGCCGUAAACAAUGUGCGUUAGGUGUGUCGGUAACCACGCGUUACUGAUGCGCCGAAGAGAAAUCGUGAAACGCACCACCUGGGAAGUACGGUCGCAAGGCUGAAACUUAAAGGAAUUGGCGGGGGAGCACCACAACAGGUGGAGCCUGCGGUUUAAUUGGAUUCAACGCCGGAAAUCUCACCGGAUAGGACAGACAUAUGAUAGUCGGGCUGAAGACUCUACUUGAUGAUCUGAGAGGUGGUGCAUGGCGUCAGUGACU
rnacentral:rRNA from 1 species